GCGAGAGUGGCGAAAUUGGCAGACGCGCAAGAUUCAGGUUCUUGUGAACCAUUCAACGUUCAUGCGGGUUCAAGUCCCGCCUCUCGCA
rnacentral:tRNA from 1 species